GGGGCCUCCUUCCUUCAAACCCUAGAACGGUAAGUGUAGUGAAAAAAAGGAGCGAAAAUGGUGGAGAAAACUAAAGGAAGAAAAGAGGAGGUUGUUUCCAGGGAGUACACCAUUAAUCUCCACAAGCGUUUGCAUGGAUGCACAUUCAAGAAGAAGGCCCCGACAGCCAUCAAGGAGAUCCGAAAGUUUGCACAGAAAGCCAUGGGAACGAAGGAUGUCAGAGUGGACGUGAAGCUCAACAAGCAGAUCUGGAGCAGAGGCAUCCGAAGUGUUCCAAGACGUAUCAGAGUUCGUAUUGCUCGCAAGAGGAAUGACGAUGAGGACGCAAAGGAAGAGCUCUACUCUCUUGUCACUGUUGCAGAGAUCCCAGCUGAGGGUUUGAAGGGUCUUGGUACCAAGAUCAUCGAAGAUGAGGAAUAAACUUGUCUUUUUUUAGUGAAGAAUGAUGAUACCAUUAGUGUUUUUGUUAUCCCAUUUAGUGCUUUGCGACUGCUAAAUUUUGUUUAUGAUACUCAAGUAUUUUCCUGUUUCAGAGUUCUCACCAUGAUUUUAUGCUAUUU
rnacentral:misc_RNA from 1 species